UCACGCUCUACAUGUGUAUUCAGUUCGUCCUACACUCUCUUCGCCGGUAAAUCUCCCCAUCUGGCCCUCCUGAAAAAGCAAAUUGAUGCAGGAAUGAUAAUCAGGCACAUGCAGCAGAGGAGGACACCAUGAUGAAAAGAAGGAUCAGAAUUCAGAAACCGAGGUCAGUUUACAAAUCACUUGCAGCUGCUAUAGUAUACUUGCUCAAUGGGGCCCAUUGAUGCUUGCAUAUAUAUGAUUGGUAGGAACAUACUAAAAGAUUGAUGGAUGGAUAGAUAGAUACAUGUAUACUGCUUGAUUUCUGUACUGCUCCUAGUAAUAUGAAUAUACUCUCUUCAUCUCACAGAGAAUAAAUGUAGCAUUCAAUGUGUAGUACAACGAAUUUGAAUAGAGAUAUGUUUAUAAUCUUAAGAUACUUCCUAUGUUUCUUAAUAACUUUAUUUUUUGAUUUUUAUGUCCAACGCUUUUGACCAUUCGUCUUAUUUAAAAAAUUUGUAAAAAACUUAAAAAAAAUUAGUCACACAUAAAGUAUUAUUCAUGUUUUAUCAUCUAGCAAGAAUAAAAAUAUUAAUCAUAAAAAAAUUUAAAUAAGAUGAAGAAUCAAAAUAGUAUAUUAAAAAACUAAAAAAUGAUCAUAUUUCGAAACGGAAAUAGUAUGUCGUAUCCAAUAUUAAUUUAGUUUUUUAUGGGACCGAUGGAGUACAGUGCAAUAAUCUGUUGGGCGUUUUGCAUGAUUCCUUUGAGACUGUCAGUCGGUCAUCGAACGUGCGCAAACACCGAAGCAUUCCUCUUCUUUUCAGAGAGGUGACACGCACUGGCUAGCUCUUGGGUGCUCCCAAUGAUCAGUGUAUCUAACUGACAUUCCUGUGGUCACUGACACUGACACACCGGGCUACGUACCUCGUCAGUGGCCAUGUAAACAUCGCUGAUUAAGUAGAUUAGCUAGCUAACCAUUUCUCUUUUCUGAACACAUUAAAUGACCCCAAGAGGCCAAGAUCGACUAGUUAAGCCUAUUUUAGUGUAGUGAUUUGCUAAUUAGCUAGAGUGCAAUUUGCAUGGAUUAAUUGCAGAACAGAGUUGCAGUUGACAAUGCUUAAUUAGCUGAGUUUCAGAGGUUAAUUAGAACAGAUUGUUGCACUAGCUGUGAACUGAUCGCGUUUGCACGACAGAAGUAUUAGGACACGAACACAUGCGGAAACCAUAUGCAUUCUUGACUAAUCUGCACUGAAACGAGGAGAAAAAUAGUAGCAGAGAUGAAUGAAUACCUAUUGUGAAUCGGGUCGGGGCCAUUCGGCACUUUCCUCUUGCUGUCCUGGUAUGGAUCAGCUGCAGACGUCGUCGUCGCAACCGGUGGCACCGUCGUCGUAGCUCCGGCGACAUCACCUCGCGGCCGCGUGACGACGUCCGGUCCAGGAGCAUUGUUACCCAUGCCGCCGGCAGCAGCCGGCCCGGGCCUAGCGCCGACCGCCGUUGACGCCGACGAGACCAGCACGACGCAGACGAGCAAGACGGCGACGAGCUGCCGGUCACCGCCGGCGCCCGUCCGACACCAGCUGCUUCCACCAACGCCUCUCCGCAUAUCUCCACUAGCUAGCUGCUUGCUGUUCAGGCGAUCACCGCUACCUCCUCGUCAGCAAUCACCGCCGCCGCGCGCGCUUGCCACUGCUAUUAUUAUAUAUGAUGCUAUCUCCUCCUGGUCUCCUCCCGGUACUGGAGAGAAGCGCACCCUGUGGACGAACAGAUCAUGGCUAGCUAGGCUAACAGAUGGCCGCCACCAACUCCGGGAGUUCUUGAGAGCGAGAAGAAGUAGCCAGCCCGUCGUGAUGGCCGGAGGAGGAAGAAGAAGAAGAAUGUGUGAUCUAGCUACGUACUACUAUAGACGAUGAUAUAUAUACACAACACAUCGUCUCAUCAGUGAUGAUCUGCUUGCUGCUCAGGUCGAAAUCAGCCAAGCUUUAGCUUCGAUACAGAGCUUGAUGUUGAUGUGCAUAGACAGCGAUGUGGCGAGGCAUACACCUGACAGGCUCAUAAUAACUUUAUUUUUCGUUUUUUCGUGUCCAAUAUUUUGACCAUUCGUCUUAUUUAAAAAAAAUUAUAUAAAAAAUUAAAAAAAUUAGUCACACAUAAAAUAUUAUCCAUGUUUUAUCAUCUAGUAAGAAUAAAAAUACUAAUAAAAAAAAUUUUAAAUAAAACAAAGAGUUAAAACACUAUAUAAAAAAAAUUUCGCUCAUCCUUCUCUUUGUUGGUUCGCUCGAAAAGCAGCAGGCACAGAUCAGGGAUACACCGGGUCACGUCGUGAUCAGCUCUGUCUCUCUUUCUCGACGAUGAAUUUGGGUGAGCCUGCCCGAGAAAGACAGUGAAGUUCCAAAGUUGGAGCAGCUGGGAUCCGGGCCACACCGGCCGGACAGCAUGCAGAAUAUUCAAAUGGAUUGUGAGCAGCAGGGUGUGCCAGGGUGGCCUACCCUGUCUGAAUGAGCUGACGAUGAUUAACCAUGCAUUGCAGAGUUAGUACGUACUAUACGUACUGCUGCAGAAUAUUGGUCUAGUCCUAGUAGGAUUAGAUACGGUGGCUUUGCACUUGCCCCUGUUUAGUUCACGAAAAAAAAAUUUGGUGUCACUUUAGACGUUUUGACUGAAUAUCGAAAUAGAUUAUAUUUGAUUGAACGUCGGAAUAGAUUUUCGCGCAUGAAUAAAAACAAACAAAUUUCAUAGUUCAUCUGAAAACCGCAAGACGAAUCUUUUUAGCCUAAUUAAUCCGUCAUUAACAUAUAUGUGUUACCAUAGUACUUAUUGUUAAUUAAUCAUGGACAAAAUAAGCUUAAAAAUUCGUCUAACGAUUUUUUCCUUAACUAUGUAAUUAUUUCUUUUAUCUAUGUUUAAUGUUUUAUUUAGGUGUCUAAAAUUUAACGUGAUGUUUUUUGGAAAAAGAUUGGGAACUAAACGGGCCCUGAGUUGUGCUUGGAAGCAUGGCUUAAUGAUUAGGGGCAUGAGACAUAGGGAUGGCUUCGGCUAUUAGUCAAUUGCUUGGUGUUUUUUUCCCAGAUUGUUAUUCUUUUCUUCCGAUUUAGAUAGAUUUGAGUAUGCGUUAUCCACUUAAUUGACCUAUAAACGGGUUGACGGACAAACCCACUUACACCCCUAGCUUUGAGAUUCAUGCAAAUCUAUACUCCCUCCGUACUCGAAUUUCUGGUCGUUCUAGGAGGAGAACAUAUUACCGUUUUUCUGUUCGUUCUGAGAGAAGUAGCCAUUUUGAGCCCAUUUUACCCCUGCAAAACACACAGUCCCAAUGCAAUUAAUACUUGACGUCGCUUUGUUUCACGAGCUGCUGCAGCCAUGCACGAAGCGUCAGGUUGAUAACCAGCCACCCAUGCACAACACCAGAGAAUAGCUCUCCAUAGCUAGGUCGCUGCUUUCUGGAGCAUGCAGCUCGCAGCGC
rnacentral:lncRNA from 1 species